GGAAGAUAAUUAGUGUUAUUGUAAUGAAGGAUGAUUAUGGGAAAUCUCGGGGCUUUGGUUUGUUAGCUUCGAGUUGUCAAAAGAAGCUAAGAAGGCUAUGUAGGCCAUGAAUGGUGCACAACUGGGAUCAAAGAAUCUCCAUGUAGGAAGGGCUCAAAAGAAGGCUGAACGAGAGUAGAUGCUAAGUUGCCAGUUCAACGGUUUGAACGUGUACGUGAAAAAACCUCGUUGACUUUGUUGAUGA